rnacentral:misc_RNA from 1 species
GAUGAAGAACGUAGCGAAAUGCGAUAAGUAAUGUGAAUUGCAGAAUUCAGUGAAUCAUCGAAUCUUUGAACGCACAUUGCGCCCGCCAGUAUUCUGGCGGGCAUGCCUGUUCGAGCGUCAUUACAACCCUCAGGCCCCCGGGCCUGGCGUUGGGGAUCGGCGGAAGCCCCCUGCGGGCACAACGCCGUCCCCCAAAUACAGUGGCGGUCCCGCCGCAGCUUCCAUUGCGUAGUAGCUAACACCUCGCAACUGGAGAGCGGCGCGGCCACGCCGUAAAACACCCAACUUCUGAAUGUUGACCUCGAAUCAGGUAGGAAUACUCGCUGAACUUAAGCAUAUCAAUAAGCGGAGGA